GAACGCUGGCGGCAGGCCUAACACAUGCAAGUCGAGCGGCAGCACGGGAAGCUUGCUUCCUGGUGGCGAGCGGCGGACGGGUGAGUAAUGCAUAGAAAUCUGCCCGGUAGUGGGGGAUAACCUGGGGAAACCCAGGCUAAUACCGCAUACGUCCUACGGGAGAAAGCAGGGGAUCUUCGGACCUUGCGCUAUCGGAUGAGUCUAUGUCGGAUUAGCUUGUUGGUGAGGUAAUGGCUCACCAAGGCGACGAUCCGUAGCUGGUCUGAGAGGAUGAUCAGCCACAUCGGGACUGAGACACGGCCCGAACUCCUACGGGAGGCAGCAGUGGGGAAUAUUGGACAAUGGGCGAAAGCCUGAUCCAGCCAUGCCGCGUGUGUGAAGAAGGCCUUCGGGUUGUAAAGCACUUUCAGUGGGGAAGAAAGCCUUGGGGCUAAUACCCUCGAGGAAGGACAUCACCCACAGAAGAAGCACCGGCUAACUCCGUGCCAGCAGCCGCGGUAAUACGGAGGGUGCGAGCGUUAAUCGGAAUUACUGGGCGUAAAGCGCGCGUAGGCGGUCUGAUAAGCCGGUUGUGAAAGCCCCGGGCUCAACCUGGGAACGGCAUCCGGAACUGUCAGGCUAGAGUGCAGGAGAGGAAGGUAGAAUUCCCGGUGUAGCGGUGAAAUGCGUAGAGAUCGGGAGGAAUACCAGUGGCGAAGGCGGCCUUCUGGACUGACACUGACGCUGAGGUGCGAAAGCGUGGGUAGCAAACAGGAUUAGAUACCCUGGUAGUCCACGCCGUAAACGAUGUCGACUAGCCGUUGGGCUCCUUGAGAGCUUUGUGGCGCAGUUAACGCGAUAAGUCGACCGCCUGGGGAGUACGGCCGCAAGGUUAAAACUCAAAUGAAUUGACGGGGGCCCGCACAAGCGGUGGAGCAUGUGGUUUAAUUCGAUGCAACGCGAAGAACCUUACCUACCCUUGACAUCGUGCGAACUUUCCAGAGAUGGAUUGGUGCCUUCGGGAACGCACAGACAGGUGCUGCAUGGCUGUCGUCAGCUCGUGUUGUGAAAUGUUGGGUUAAGUCCCGUAACGAGCGCAACCCUUGUCCUUAUUUGCCAGCGAGUAAUGUCGGGAACUCUAAGGAGACUGCCGGUGACAAACCGGAGGAAGGUGGGGACGACGUCAAGUCAUCAUGGCCCUUACGGGUAGGGCUACACACGUGCUACAAUGGCCGGUACAAAGGGUUGCGAAGCCGCGAGGUGGAGCUAAUCCCGAAAAGCUGGUCUCAGUCCGGAUCGGAGUCUGCAACUCGACUCCGUGAAGUCGGAAUCGCUAGUAAUCGUGAAUCAGAAUGUCACGGUGAAUACGUUCCCGGGCCUUGUACACACCGCCCGUCACACCAUGGGAGUGGACUGCACCAGAAGUGGUUAGCCUAACUUCGGAGGGCGAUCACCACGGUGUGGUUCAUGACUGGGGUGAAGUCGUAACAAGGUAGCCGUA
rnacentral:rRNA from 1 species